rnacentral:rRNA from 1 species
AUUGAACGCUGGCGGAAUGCUUUACACAUGCAAGUCGAACGGCAGCACGGGGGCAACCCUGGUGGCGAGUGGCGAACGGGUGAGUAAUACAUCGGAACGUGCCCAGUCGUGGGGGAUAACGUAGCGAAAGUUACGCUAAUACCGCAUACGAUCUACGGAUGAAAGCGGGGGACCGUAAGGCCCCGCGCGAUUGGAGUGGCCGGGGUCAGAUUAGGUAGUUGGUGAGGUAAAAGCUCACCAAACCGACGAUCUGUAGCUGGUCUGAGGGGACGACCGGCCACACUGGGACUGAGACACGGCCCAGACUCCUACGGGAGGCAGCAGUGGGGAAUUUUGGACAAUGGGCGCAAGCCUGAUCCAGCCAUUCCGCGUGCAGGACGAAGGCCUUCGGGUUGUAAACUGCUUUUGUACGGAACGAAAAGGCUCUGGUUAAUACCUGGGGCGCAUGACGGUACCGUAAGAAUAAGCACCGGCUAACUACGUGCCAGCCGCCGCGGUAA